UAGGGAAUCUUCCACAAUGGACGCAAGUCUGAUGGAGCAACGCCGCGUGAGUGAAGAAGGUUUUCGGAUCGUAAAGCUCUGUUGUUGGUGAAGAAGGAUAGAGGCAGUAACUGGUCUUUAUUUGACGGUAAUCAACCAGAAAGUCACGGCUAACUACGUGCCAGCAGCCGCGGUAAUACGUAGGUGGCAAGCGUUGUCCGGAUUUAUUGGGCGUAAAGCGAGCGCAGGCGGAAUGAUAAGUCUGAUGUGAAAGCCCACGGCUCAACCGUGGAACUGCAUCGGAAACUGUCAAUCUUGAGUGCAGAAGAGGAGAGUGGAAUUCCAUGUGUAGCGGAGGAAUGCGUAGAUAUAUGGAAGAACACCAGUAGCGAAGGCGGCUCUCUGGUCUGCAACUGACGCUGAGGCUCGAAAGCAUGGGUAGCGAACAGG
rnacentral:rRNA from 1 species